ACAACUACGCAAUCACGCAUACAACAUAAAUAUUCUGCCACAUGAAGUAAACCCCAAACCCUAACAUCAUAUUAUUGUCGAAAGCCCACAAAAAAGGAAAAAAAAAUAGAUAUCAGCAUCUAGGUUCUAGGAGAACCAAUGCCGGAAGAACAAAAAAAUAAUACUGAAAUCAUCAACUUCACCUAGAAAAUAAAACCAUAAAUUAUACCGAAAUGAAUCGCUUAUAAAGCCUGCAUCGACCGAUAACCUAGAACACAAUAGAAAAGAGAACAACAAAAAAAAACUUAGAAAUCGAAGAAAUAAACAAAGGAAGGGAUGAAUCCGUAUCAGAUCUGAGAAGAAAAUAGGAAAGAUCAAGGGAAGAAAGAAGAAAAGAUGGAUCUUUCUUACCUCGGUAGAGCAGAGGAUCCAACCUCGCACGCACGGAAGACUUCGAACGGAAGAGGGAGAGGGAAGGUGACGGGAGCCAAAAAAAUCUUAAGACCCGUCGAGCCGCCGCGGUCGCCGUCGACGGGGAGGCCGAAGUUGUCGGCACGGGGGAGGAGAGGGCGAAGGUCCGGAGGAGAGGGCUUGGGAGGCGAAGAGUCCGGACUCCGGAGGAGAGCUGGAGAGGAGAGGGGAGACACUCGAGAGGGAUGCUGAGGGGGGGAAUAGAGCUCGGGCGGCGCCGGCGCACAAACCCUAAGUCCUCACUCCUCACCCUAACAACGGAGAAGUCUCAAUU
rnacentral:lncRNA from 1 species